rnacentral:sRNA from 2 species
AGUAUAGGUACUGCAAAUACCUAUACAAAUCUAUUUAUGGAAUAAAUUAGGAAAAUCAUUAACAGAAUCAGAUAAACCAUAUUUGAAGUCAAUAAUAUCCCUUAUCUGUUUAUUUACAGAUAAAGAA